rnacentral:rRNA from 1 species
UUCCGGUUGAUCCUGCCGGAGGUCACUGCUAUUGGGGUUCGGCUAAGCCAUGCAAGCGGAGGGUGCGGUCGAAAGAUCGUGGCCCCGCACACGGCUCAGUAACACGUAGUCAACCUACCCUUGGGACGGGGACAACCUCGGGAAACUGAGGCUAAUACCCGAUAGGCGAGGGACGCUGGGAUGCCUCCUCGCCCAAAGCUCUGGCGCCCAAGGAUGGGACUGUGGCCUAUCAGGCUGUUGGUGGUGUAACGGACCACCAAACCUACGACGGGUACGGGCGAUGGGAGUCGGAGCCCGGAGAUGGGGACUGAGACAAGGCCCCAGGCCCUACGGGGCGCAGCAGGCGCGAAAACUCCGCAAUGCGCGCAAGCGUGACGGGGGGACCCCAAGUGCCGUUGGUCUUUCGAUCGACGGUUUUUAGGAAGUCUAAGAAGCUUCCGGAAUAAGGGCUGGGCAAGACUGGUGCCAGCCGCCGCGGUAACACCAGCAGCCCGAGUGGUGGCCACGAUUAUUGGGCCUAAAGCGCUCGUAGCCGGAUCAUCAAGUCCCUUGUGAAAUCGGGCCGCCCAACGGUUCGGCGUGCAAGGGAUACUGUUGGUCUUGAGGCCGGGAGAGGUCGGAGGUACUCCUGGGGUAGCGGUGAAAUGCUCUAAUCCUAGGGGGACCACCAGUGGCGAAGGCGUCCGACCAGAACGGACCUGACGGUGAGGGGCGAAAGCUAGGGGAGCGAACGGGAUUAGAUACCCCGGUAGUCCUAGCUGUAAAGCAUGCGGGCUAGGUGUCUAGCGCUCCUCGAGGGCGCUAGGUGCCGGAGGGAAGCCGUUAAGCCCGCCGCCUGGGAAGUACGGCCGCAAGGCUGAAACUUAAAGAAAUUGG